GUGUUUUAUAAAAGCUUUUUUUUUUACACAAAUCUUUUCUUCUUCUUUGAUUUGCCAAUAUGUCAAUUUAUUACGUUGUUUUCUUUUGUUUGUUUUAUUUAUUUCAUUUUUAUUAUUUUUUUAUUUUACAUCAUUUCAAUUUUUCCAUUGUCAUUGGAACUCCAGAGUGAUUGACCAAUCAUGGGUGUCUGUUGCUCUGCUUGUGGUCCGUGUUCUGUUGGUGGGGUCCAGAUCCAAUGGUGGGAAUGUACUGGACACUUCCACCACCACCUUCAUCAUCACGCCAUCAUCAUCAUCAAUUUAUGCUGCCAAAUUUUCUAACGAUUAGAUGUCAGCACAGGGUUUUGAUUUCAUUGAUUUCUGUUUGUUUUAACCCUUUAAUUUUCCAACAAAGCACUGUGUUGGAACAGUAUACCUCUUUUCUCUUUGUUCACAAUCUCUGUUCCACUUCUCCUUCUGAUCUGCAGUUCAUCUUCCACUUCUGAUAACAAGGGUUGUCUUCCAGCUGCUAGCUGUUUCUUAGAUCUGUAACGUCUAGAUCCGCUGUCUGACUAGAUCUGUAACGUCUAGAUCCACUAUCUGACUAGAUCUGUAACGUCUAGAUCCACUAUCUGACUAGAUCUGUAACGUCUAGAUCCACUGUCUGACUAGAUCCGCUAUCUGACUAGAUCUGUAACGUCUAGAUCCACUGUCUGACUAGAUCCCCUAUCUGACUAGAUCUGUAACGACUAGAUCUGCUGUGUGGCUGUAAAGACGUGGUAUGCAGCAUCACACGGUCACAGUACUUACCAGUUACUGAAUUCAUCUCAAUAUAGAGGCCAUUUGUCAUUUAGCUUAAACUGAUAAAUUAUAAAAUGUUAAUAUAUUUAUAUAGCUGUGUGUACAGGAUGUGUUCAUGCACACAGUCACCCACAUACAUACAUACAUACAUACAUACAUACAUACAUACAUACAUACAUACAUACAUACAUACAUACAUACAUACAUACAUACAUACAUAUACACCCAUAAAUACACACAAAGUCAUACUUAAAGCAGGAUCACUUAAUGUCAAUCAAAUAAUCGUACAUGGAUUCAAACGUGUUCCAACACACUUAAACACACACAUAUACAUACGCUCUCUCUCUCACACACACACAGUACAUUAGACCACCACUCGGACUGAUUGCUUAUUGAGGAACAUGUUUAGGAGUUAAAGGGAUAUGGAAGCACUUGGCAGGGUGACAUGGCAGAGGAGGGUCAGGAGGGG
ensembl:lncRNA